GAUGAACGCUGGCGGCGUGCCUAAUACAUGCAAGUCGAGCGAACGGACGAGAAGCUUGCUUUUCUGAUGUUAGCGGCGGACGGGUGAGUAACACGUGGAUAACCUACCUAUAAGACUGGGAUAACUUCGGGAAACCGUAGCUAAUACCGGAUAAUAUUUUGAACCGCAUGGUUCAAAAGUGAAAGACGGUCUUGCUGUCACUUAUAGAUGGAUCCGCGCUGCAUUAGCUAGUUGGUAAGGUAACGGCUUACCAAGGCAACGAGGCAUAGCCGACCUGAGAGGGUGAUCGGCCACACUGGAACUGAGACACGGUCCAGACUCCUACGGGAGGCAGCAGUAGGGAAUCUUCCGCAAUGGGCGAAAGCCUGACGGAGCAACGCCGCGUGAGUGAUGAAGGUCUUCGGAUCGUAAAACUCUGUUAUUAGGGAAGAACAUAUGUGUAAGUAACUGUGCACAUCUUGACGGUACCUAAUCAGAAAGCCACGGCUAACUACGUG
rnacentral:rRNA from 1 species